GAGAGAGAACAAUUUGCAUGAACUCUGUGUAGCACAGUUUCUUCAUAUAUGAAUUUGCAAUGAUUCUGGGCAGGUGCUUUGAGACCUCAUUUGAAAAAUGUUUCCCUCUACCAAGUACCAGAGAUUAUGAUGGUAAUACUGUCAUUUUUAUUAGUCAAUCUGGUUUUAAUAUAUUAUAACAGUAUGGACCCUAUUAGCCAAGUACACGAUAAUAGCCUUUUACUACAAUACCCUAGGAUAUAAUAUUGUAAUGUUAUUAUAAUAUCUUAUUAUUGUGGUUCUACUAAUAAGGAUCUCACUUAUAUACACAUAGAGCUCUUGUAGUUUUAUAAUAUCAACAGAUGAGACUCUGCUGUUGAGAAUCUUAUCUAAAACGUGAUACCACAAUACCAGAAGGGAUAUUGACAAAAUAUGUCUGUGUAUUUGAAUUGCACAUUCCUAGUUUGAUUUAUUCUUACUGUGUAGCACGUUAUUGCCUGGAAUUCCAGAUGGUUCAAGUGCCUUCCAGACCUCCUCUUGCCUGUUUAUUCCAUUAAAUAGAAUAGCCAAAAAUAAGUAAGGCUAAUAUUAACUUUAGUGAAGAUAUUCCAGUGCCUUCCAGUACCCUAAAUAAUUCAAGAGGAUAUGAUGCAGUGACUAAGAACUUGGGCUCUGCAGUCAGGUUUACCUAAGGCUGAGUCUUAACUUUAUUUUUAUUUUGGAGGUAGGAUCUCCCUCUGUUGCCCAGGCCGGAGUGCGUUGGCAUGAUAAUGGCUCACUGCAGCCUCAAGCUCCUCGGCUCAGGGCAAGAGCUGGGCUAGUUUUUUAUGUCUUUCUGUGGAGACGAGGGUCUCAUUAGGUUGCUCAUGCUGGUCUAGAAUUCCUGGCCUCAAGCAGUCCUCCCAUUUCAAGCUUCUAAGGCACUGGGAUUUCAGGAGUGAGCCAUUGCACCCAGCCAUUAACUUUAUACUUAAACAUAACAUGUCACUGUGAGACUUUGUCUUCUAUUGUUCAAUGUCGUUACCUGUAAAAUGGGAUGAAUAACUGUAGCUACCCUGUAAGGUGGUGUGAGAAUUCAGUGAGAUAGUUCCUAUAAAGUACCUGGUGCCUAAUGCUCAAUAAAUGUUAACUGCAAUUAUUAUUACUAUUAUCUUAAAACAUUUGAACCCUGUGUGUGACGAAAUAUUCUUUGGCAAGGGACAGCUGGAAUGACUCUCAGGUAAAGAGUAGUAAAAGGGCUAUAAGUAGAGCAAUAAAAUGCAAAUGUAUGACCUCUGCUGCUUUCCCCAGAGCUGUAGAUCAUUCCAUUUGUUGAAAAAAAGAACUGGGUCUACUGCUGAACACAGUGUAACAAAUAUGACACAGAUAGAGACCCCCUUAAGGCGCCAUAUCUGUUUAUAGCCUAUUUAAAGAACAAAAAAUAGAUCUUUCUGUGGCACUUAAUCUGGCCGGGACACUCACAAUACCCGUUAGAAUGUGUGCUUAUUUCAUUGUUAUAAUAAUGCGAGUUCAAGUUCUCUGCUGUUUUUACGGAAGCCUCUAGGGGUAGAGGUGAGAGAAAGGAAACAGAAUUUAAAAUGCUCCGGGUUUAUUUUUAAAGGCAGUGACUCCUCUUGAAGAGUUUGAACAUUCAGGAAGACCAGCUGACAUUGAGCUGUCUACACUUUUCAGCUCUGUUUUAUUAGCUGCUGUUAAUGUUUUCCUUCCUCCCCAGCGAAGGUUCAUACUAGCGGUUCUCGAAUUCACAGCAGGGCUUGUCUAACCACACCACAUGCUGAGCCCAUCCCCAGACUUCCCAUUUAGCAGGUCCAAGGUGGGGCUGAAAAUCUGCAUUUCUAACGAGUUCCUGGGUGAUUGCGAUGCCCCUGUGAAUAUGCUGGUCAGGAAAUCACACAUUGCCAACUGCUGCUGGAUGCAGUUUGGAUCUCCCUCGAGCCCUUGGCCCAGAGUUGGGCACAGAGUAUGCACUCAAUAAAUACUUGUUGGUUCACUGUCUCUGAUGACGCCAAAAUGAAAUAUAAAAGGAAGAUAAAGUAUAUUAAGGUUCUCAUUAGGCACACAGCCUGAUUCUCAUUAAGAGUGUCCUGAUUUCUUUUAUGUCCUGGGCAUGUGGGCUCAGUGCUAAUUUUCAUGGCUUCUGUGGUCCCCAAAGUACCAGCUUUUUCAUCUACUCCAAGGUUCUCCUCAUUUACCCUUUAUUUUCCUGACUCAUUUCAGACGCUAAUAAGGGCCAACAGAACCCUCAGGACUCAUAUGGGAAUGAGGAUUCUCGUACCUCCCAAAGAGUUGUUGUAAAUCCCUUGUCUUUAAUCUUAUUUCACUCUCUGCUCGCCACCCUGUUAACAUAAAGCUUAAGCCCUUGGCUUGUUGCUUUAUUUUCUGAAAUUUUAAAUUUGAUUGAAACUGCCUCCACUAAGUUAACAUUUGAUUGAGUCACUGGGGAGAAAAAAAUUUACAGAGAAGUGAUAGAAAACAAAUUGGGCUUGUAGAGGAAGGAUUGUUCAGAAUUACUAUAUUGUCAAACCCAUUGUUUAUUUCCCUCACAUUUUCCUAGGUCUCAGCACUUGGGUGUUUCUUCACCAGAAAAGAAUUUUGGAGGUUGGUUGGGGCGAGGGGGAGGCGGUUGUUUUGCACAUCCUUUAAUCUCUUCCUAUUUAAGCAUUUUAGAGGAAAAUAAUGUUUUCCUUCAUGAAAACAGAUAAAAACAAUCUCUAAGUUUGCAUUUUAGUUCUUUACUCACAGCCAACCCAUGAGUUCAGUUUUGAGAUGAGUGUUUUCCAAAGUAGAGUCCCCGGAGGACGCUGGAAGACUGUUCUAUGGAUGAAAAGGACUCUGUGGCAAAAAGAAAGCAAGCUUGGUGAACACAGGUUUAAGCAAAGUUAAACAGAUGUCAACUUUCAAAAUCAUGGAAACAUCAGCUAGCAAUUGAAAGACGCAUUCAUAAUUGAAACAAGCCCAUGAAACCCUCUCUCCAAAUGUAACAGUCGUAUUCACCAGUUUGUUCUCUCUCAGGUUCAUUGUUUGGCCCACAUCUCCUCCCUUUAGCACUCCCCAAGAUUGUAUUCCAGUUAGCGAUACUCUGCCUGCAAUGUAGCUUUUCUCAGUCACUAGAAAAUGUCACAGUAUAGUUUGAACUGUGGAGGUUAUUAAUCUCUACAACACUGUCAAAGAAAACUGGGAGAGUUUUAUAGCUGUAGGUUAUUAACACUCUUGACAAUAGAAAAGUUGACCUUUCCCCCACCCCUUUGCCUUUAGGCUCUUGCCUCUGCUUUAAAAAUUGGCAGUGAACAGAAUAUGCAUUCUUAGCUUUCUCAAUAUUAUGUAUAUAAAAGUAGUGAGAGAUGAACCAGAUAUACUUGAUAAUCAGAUUGUUGGGUUAAUGAACAUAGGGUAUUGUAGUUUAACUUUUAAUUCCAGGGUGGUUAAUUGUGACAUUAAAUGUUUCAGUGCUGACCUCUACCUCACAUGUAAGAUAUAUAUUGACAUCUGGAAAGACUUAGAUCCACCUUCAUUUGACAGCACUGUCGCAACUGUUAAGAUCUACUAAGCUGUGAAAAUGCAUUCAUAAAACACCUACGGUAGAAUCUAAGAGCACAGUUUUCCUCUUUUCUCUUCUCGAGGGACAAUACAGACUUCAGCUUCGAACAUUACAGAGCACUGCCAUUUUCCGUUUCAGCCAAUCUGGUUCUUACUGACAGUAAUUAUAAAUGUAGGUGUAUGAAUUAGUUGCUUAAAAACUCCAAAGUGUGUGUACAUGCAAGUGCAUUACACAUAAAUACUCUGAGUGCAGAAUACCUAAUUUAAAUGAGUGACAGGGAGCACAACAUCAUUGGAAUUGUCAGGGAAACAGAAAUGUGGUGUUUUACAGCUCUGUCUUUGUCUGCAUGCUCCGUUCAUGUAUUAGAAGCCAGAGGAGCUUCAAAAUAUGUGCAGAAUUGAGUGGGAUCUUGGGCGUAACCUAUUACCAUGAAAAAUUGGCAAGAAGGAAAUCUCCUGUUUUCUGCAUGUUCUUAUGUAACUUUGAACAAACUGUUCUGUUAAAAAA